GGGUUCAUCAUGCAAAUCAGGAUGCUUGAUCUCCGGCAGGUAACCGCUUCCCAAAUUAGACUCAUCGUUGCCUUGAGUUGAAUUAUGAGGAUGUUGGGCCGAAAAUCGCCCCUCUUCCCAGUCCAUAUCAGUAGCUUCAGAUUUUGAUUCCCAUCCAUCACUGCUGUAUCCAGGAGUGAUUUCUCCUGGAACCAAGGAAGGUGGAUAGUCUUCAUCUGCUUCCUCUGCCCUCUGGUCUCGUUCAGAAGAGGUUUCAGCGAAAACGAUAUCACUGUUCUGAUCCAGAUUGUCCCCAGAAUCAAUCUCAGAGACUGGUGGUUCAUCUGAUUCGCUGUCUGCAACUUGCCCAUCAUCUUUUGUUGUUUCAUCGCCACCUUCAACUGAAGGCAUGAUGUCAUUGAGAUGUCCAGUUUCCCCAGCAACAUCAACUAUCUCCUCAUCAUCCUGAUCAGGUAUGUUGCUUCCAAUUGCUUCAGCAGAGUCAUCUCUAUUUUUAGCAUAGAUUUCAAUGAAAAAAUCCAUGCCAACUUCUUGUAUGAGAGGGGACACUGCUGAGCUACCUGAAUCAACUUCUUGAAUAGCAGGUUUCCCAUCAAUGAUCACCUGCGCAGUAUCAAUUGAUUUCAUGCCAUCACCAGGCAGCUUAGCUCUUCGCGGGGAUAGAGCUUCCAAUUUCAUAGUCUUCUGGGUCUUCAGCACACGUCGCCUUGCUGACAAGAAGCACUUCAAUGGAGGCAAAGGAGCAUGGUGAUGACCGUUGAGAGAACAGUAAGUAUAAGGGCAAACCUUGAUAACUGAAGUUCCUUCAUAUUCAGUUCCCCCAGGAUUGAGCAUGAGAUAUUCAGGAAAGUUGGAAUCUUUCAGGGUUGAAGAACACGUAGCUCCAUGUGCAUCCAUAUCUGCACACAGAGCAACCUUGGAGCACUUCUUGGUAGAAGCUCUCACCGGUUUAAAGCUAGGACUCUUUGUUAAGGUCUUCACCAGUUUCAAACUUGAUGUUCUUGCAG
rnacentral:lncRNA from 1 species